AGCUCGCGUAUAUUAAACUUGUUGCAGUUAAAAAGCUCGUAGUUGAAUUUUAGCGUGUUCGAGUUUGCCAUUCGUUUGGCUUUUUCGAGUUCGCUUUUGGGUUUUCCCUUUUUACUUUGAGAAAAUUAGAGUGUUUCAAGCAGACUUUUGUCUUGAAUACUUCAGCAUGGAAUAAUAGAGUAGGACUUUGGUUCUAUUUUGUUGGUUAUUGAACCUUAGUAAUGGUUAAUAGGAACGGUUGGGGGCAUUCGUAUUUAACUGUCAGAGGUGAAAUUCUUAGAUUUGUUAAAGACAAACUACUGCGAAAGA
rnacentral:rRNA from 1 species